GCCCCGCGUCCAGUCCCCGAGUCCCGCCCCCGCACAGAACCCUGCGUCCAGUCCCCGAGCCCCGCGCCGCCUCGGAGACAAAUGCGCUCUGUUCUCUCUUCUCCAGCAACCCGAGGUCGCGUCCUCCUGGCUCCACCAGUGUGUAUCCCUAAGAGCUGGAAGACAGACUGACCUGCGGAAGGAGCAAAAUUGAUGAAUCAUCUGACCGAAGAUGGCUUGCUACCUGACAUUCUUUGUUGAACCAGGAAGCAGACAGAUGAAGAAACUGCAGCUAGAGGACAUGUGAAAUGUGCAGGUGCCGUGUUCCCAAAUACUGAAUUACAGAACUGAACAGGGAUAGGCCUGUCCUGCCCAGAAGUCUGCUUGUCACCAUCCACGCUGUCCUGCACAUCAUGGGACCUAAUAGACGGAGAUUCCUCGAGACA